UGUAAGGUCCUAACUCAUCUUUGUUAACGUACACAUUUCUAUAUUAUCUGUUACAGAUGAAGUUCCCAGCAGAGAGUGUUUGGCUGUGUCUUGUGAAUGUUACUGCACAUUGGAUUCUUGUGGUCUGUUUCCAAAAUAUUUGAUUUCUGUUGACUCAGUACUUUGACAGAUUUUCUCUUUUGUUAUGUGGACAUAUUUAAAAAUGAAGUCUCUGCUUCAAAAAAUUAAGCUGGCUGUGCAAUACUCUGUAAAGUAACCAUUAAGCAUAGUGCUGUCUGUUUAAUGAUAUGAAAUAUAUUACUUUACUUAAGGUUGUGAACAUGGCAGAGGUUCCUCACUGUAAUUAAACCAAUGGGAAAUGAGGUUGCUUACAACAGGAAGAUUCUGAGGAACUGGCGAAACUUCCUGAGGAACAGGUCAAGGGAGAAAUCCAAAUAUGUGUGGGCUGUGCACACCAUGGACCACAACACACAGAUGGGUUUCAGCAGUUGUGGGGUUCUGGUGUUAAAGUAUGCUGAAAAUUUCCUUCUGAGUGGAAACAUAUCUGAUGCGCAGACAACUCCAGAAGCUGUCAGUGGACAAAGGAUGGACAUAGCCUGUAUAUUAUUGGAAAAUAGCCAAAAAAAUGUAAAAUAAAUCCAAAUGUUCUGUAUUAUAUAUUAUCAUCAUUUAUGUUACUAUUUAUAAAAAUAAUUUAAAAAAAC